AGAACCCGACCCUAUGGUCCUAGGCUAUGGGUGGUGGUGCAUAGCCGUUCUUAGUUGGUGGAGCGAUUUGUCUGGUUAAUUCUGUUAACGAACGAGACCUCAGCCUGCUAACUAGCUAUGCGGAGGUAUCCCUUCGCGACCAGCUUCUUAGAGGGACUAUAGCCUUAUAGGCCGCGGAAGUUUGAGGCAAUAACAUGUCUGUGAUGCCCUUUGAUGUUCU
rfam:Nicotiana attenuata strain TT chromosome 12, whole genome shotgun sequence.